GUGGCUCAUAAGUGUCUCUAAGUUAUACCAAAAGUUUGAGCACAACAGUAGUAGCAGAAUGCUUAGAAUAAAUGCUUGACUUUUAAGCUGACUUUUGGAAGGACCAUACCCACAUAGAGGCAUCUUUUCUGCUGUGGUAAUUUUUUAAAUUAAUACAUUGCUUUAGGAUUACAUCUCAAAGUAAAUAAAAAAAUCAAUAUUUAAUUUGUUUUUUUCCUGCAAAUAAAUUAAAUGCUGGGACCAUAAUGAUUAUUUUUGCAUAGUAAUAGCUGGUGAAGAAGUUGUUUUAAAAUUAAAUUGCCAAAAGUAUUACCUCUUGAAAAAUUUAUUUUCCCAAAGUUUUUCAUAUGUCAUGAAACCCCUAAUCUUGACCUUUAUGACACAGUGGCAUUACACUGAUGUUGGAAGCAUGUGUGAGAUCUGUGCCCUGGUCGGGAGUCAUAUGCCUUAAAAAUGACUGCGAGUCAGUGUGAAGUAGUAUAAAGUGGAGUCCUACGUGGGAAAAAGCAGGCUACUGAGGACAAAAACCUCCCAACCCUCCCCACCUUGUUUUCCACUGGGAAUGAGAAUUUGAUAUGAGAAACUUCAACCUUGCAGAAGUGUGGAUUUCCCUCUGAAAUUUAAAUGUUUCACACAUUUUUGUACCUUUUGUAACCUUGUGGUAUUUACUUUCACAUGGCUUUUUAAAAAAUUAUUUUAAUGAACUUCUAUCACACUAUAUGAAUGAUAUGGGGGAAAUACUGAACUGCUCAUAUUUCCUUUUUUGGCAAUAAAGCACUGUUAUAUGUAAAUGUAAGUGAAAAAGAGGUUCAAGACUAUACAACAGCUUAUGUGUAGUAUAUGUUGACAUCCCUAAGGUAUUUUGAAACAUGAGGUGACAGACAAGGACCUCAAAUUUCCAGGGAAAUAUUUAUUUCACAACAUUAGGAGUGUAGCUCUUCAUAAUGAAAUAUCUUCUUUCUGCUAAAGAUUACAAUUUUUCAUUUAGGGAACUGUGAAUAUUUUCUGUGAGGUUUACAGAAACUAGUGUAUCCUUUUCACUAUGUUGAAAAGACAAUCUGAACUUUAGCUAUUUAUAUUUCAGUAUUAACACACCUUCACUGAUUGAGAGUCUUGAGCCCUUCUCUACUUUUAUAAAGUGAAUCCUAUUUCCAAGUCAUCCAUGUCUUUUGAAGUCUGUUUCUUAUAUAAGUAUUUAUUACUUUACUGUUUAGCAUAAAUAGGAGACAGAAAAGGAUAAUAAACUACUAGGUCCUUUAUUCCUAUUAAAAUAAAUUUAUAAAUCCCUUGAAUCAACUGAAUUCUAAGCUUUUUGAAGAGGUUGCUGAUGUAGUGUGAUCAAAAGAAUCUAAGGAGAACCUCCUCUCCAAAAUCUGAUUGGAGCUGUUCACCCUCUCAAGGACAAGAUAAAGAUUGACUUCAGAGAUAUAUCACAUCAAGCUAGAGGAAAAAAAAAAAACCUCAAAUAAAAUUUUUCCUCAUUCGAAGGGAUCCAGGGUAUCCUUGGGUUAUGUAGGAGGGAAUCAUAUUUGUUCUAAUUUACCUGAAUGUACUUGUGUGUGAAUCCAAUCUUGAUUCUAAACACCAAAUCUUGUCAACAGUAGAGAAGUAUAGUAAGGAGUUCCUGUUGUCAAUCAAAUGAGGGUGUGAAACAUUUAGAAUGCUCUGUGUUACACUUGAACCAUGUAUAAAUGUAACCUGUGUAUCUUUUUUUUAAUUAGCUUUUCUGAAUUUAAAUUAUAUUGUUUUUCUUUGUAUUGUUAGCAAAAUGCAUCAGAACUGGAUUUUUUUUCUCAUCUGAACAUAAUAUAAAAUUUGAAAGAGUAUUGUGAUAUUAAGCACUUUAACAUACAUAUCAGACAAACUGACGUGGGUUUUUCAGGUUUGGGAGUACAUUUAAAUAUGACUUUUCAUGCUUUGUUCUUUACAAAUAAAACUGUGGGAUUGAUA
rnacentral:lncRNA from 1 species